AAGGCUGACCCUCAAAUCCAGG
rnacentral:rRNA from 1 species